CUCCUAGAAAAUAGAAAAUUGUCAUUGAUAAAGUUGGCAUAGGAUUUAAUACUUCAACCAAACAAAAGCUUCUAAAAAAUAUAUUUGUAAAGCCUACAUUUGAAAAGCAUGUUAUUACUUAUUUUAAAUGUAAUAAAGUUGGACAUAAAUCUACUAAUUGUAAUAUGUUUAGAUCUGAAAAUGUCAAAGUGAAAGCUUCUUUUGAAAAUGCUUCAACAACUUAUUUUAAAUGCAAUCAAAUUGGACAUAAAGCUUUUGAAUGUCAUUCAAAGAAGAUUGGAAAGGUUAUUAUUAAAUAAAUUUGAGUUUCAAAAGGAUCUAUUGUAACUAACCUUAAAGGACCCAAGAAGCCUGGAUACCUAAAAAGACUUACUCAUAUUUUGUAGGCAUGCCUAGCAUCUCAUGCAUCAAAGAGGAGAUAACUUUUGGUUAAUGGAUGCUUAGGGCAUAUGAUGAAAAAAAUGGUAAUAUUUGGUAAAGGCAAAAUCAUUGAAAUCGUUCCUUUUAUAUUGCAUUGGUAGGACAUAAAAUAGUUUGCUUAAAUAGAUGGAUUUUCAUGAAUUUGAUAUGAUACAUAUUGCCUUUGCUGAAACUCACCUUUCAAUUUCAUUUAUAUAAAAUUUCUAAAAUCUUUGAAAUAUGUAUCUCUUAGCCUUCUCAAUUGUAAAACUAAGUUAAGCUAAAAUAUAUAAGAAACAUGUGCUUGCCUAUCAUAUGGACUAAAAUAUGAAUGUUUUAGUUACUUAUGAAUGAAGUUGUGUAUGCUUAAAUGAUCAUAUUGUUACUUCUGUUUGUAAAUUAAUUUAUCCUUCUUGUGCUUCAAUGUUUUCACUAGUAUGAUUCCAUUAUUCUUUUUUGUAUCGUCAAAAAGGAAAGUAAGAAAUUAUGAAUUAUUUAUUCUAAGAUAUGUUUACUUGAAGAAGGGAGAAAGGGUUAAAAAUUUUUUUCCAAAUUCUCAAGAAUUUUUCAAAUAUAUAGCUUUUUCAUAUAAGAAAGGGAGAGUCUUCGAAAAUUCUUUUAAACUUUUAUUAUUGGUUAUUGAAAUUUACUAAGUCUUUUGAUUAGCACUUUUAUUGCAAACCAAAUAGAGAAUUAUAAAGUUCAUCUUCAAUCUUUUGGAAUAUCGAGUGAUUCAUUUGCUGUGAUUAUUCUUUUGCAUCAAUUGAAUAUAAGGGUAGC
rnacentral:lncRNA from 1 species